AGUGAACGCUGGCGGUAGGCCUAACACAUGCAAGUCGAACGGCAGCACAGUAAGAGCUUGCUCUUACGGGUGGCGAGUGGCGGACGGGUGAGGAAUACAUCGGAAUCUACUUUUUCGUGGGGGAUAACGUAGGGAAACUUACGCUAAUACCGCAUACGACCUACGGGUGAAAGCAGGGGAUCUUCGGACCUUGCGCGAUUGAAUGAGCCGAUGUCGGAUUAGCUAGUUGGCGGGGUAAAGGCCCACCAAGGCGACGAUCCGUAGCUGGUCUGAGAGGAUGAUCAGCCACACUGGAACUGAGACACGGUCCAGACUCCUACGGGGGGCAGCAGUGGGGAAUAUUGGACAAUGGGUGCAAGCCUGAUCCAGCCAUACCGCGUGGGUGAAGAAGGCCUUCGGGUUGUAAAGCCCUUUUGUUGGGAAAGAAAAGCAGCAGGUUAAUACCCCGCUGUUCUGACGGUACCCAAAGAAUAAGCACCGGCUAACUUCGUG
rnacentral:rRNA from 1 species